GUGGGGAAUUUUGGACAAUGGGGGCAACCCUGAUCCAGCAAUGCCGCGUGUGUGAAGAAGGCCUUCGGGUUUAAAGCACUUUUGUCCGGAAAGAAAUCACCUGCUCUAAUAAAGCGGGGGGAUGACGUACCGAGA
rnacentral:rRNA from 1 species